AUUGAACGCUGGCGGCAGGCCUAACACAUGCAAGUCGAACGGUAACAGGAAGAAGCUUGCUUCUUUGCUGACGAGUGGCGGACGGGUGAGUAAUGUCUGGGAAACUGCCUGAUGGAGGGGGAUAACUACUGGAAACGGUAGCUAAUACCGCAUAACGUCGCAAGACCAAAGAGGGGGACCUUCGGGCCUCUUGCCAUCGGAUGUGCCCAGAUGGGAUUAGCUAGUAGGUGGGGUAACGGCUCACCUAGGCGACGCUCCCUAGCUGGUCUGAGAGGAUGACCAGCCAAACUGGAACUGAGACACGGUCCAGACUCCUACGGGAGGCAGCAGUGGGGAAUAUUGCACAAUGGGCGCAAGCCUGAUGCAGCCAUGCCGCGUGUAUGAAGAAGGCCUUCGGGUUGUAAAGUACUUUCAGCGGGGAGGAAGGGAGUAAAGUUAAUACCUUUGCUCAUUGACGUUACCCGCAGAAGAAGCACCGGCUAACUCCGUG
rnacentral:rRNA from 1 species